rnacentral:lncRNA from 1 species
GUGGACGUCGUGGUGGUGGUAAAGGUUUGGGGAUUUUUUAGUGGAGCUGGUGGUUGCGGGGUGGUGGCAGAUCUGCGCUGCAGUGAUUUGGGAUGGAUUUUGUUGAAUGGUGUUUGUAGGUGAUGGUUGUGGACAGGGCCGAUCCUGUGGUUUUCGGGACCCGAGGCGAACGUAAUAAAUUGGGCGUCCAAAAUCAUCGUAAAGAUCUUGAUUCAUUCAUCAAAGAUAAAGCAUUUUAAUCAUGUUCUGAACUUUCGUUUUAUUCUUUUUAAGUCGAGAAACAUAUACUCAAAUACGUUGAUUCAUAGUCGAAGCAAGAAUAAACAGA